GACGAACGCUGGCGGCGUGCUUAACACAUGCAAGUCGAGCGAGGCCCCUCCUUCGUGAGGGUGUCCUCGCGGCGAACGGGUGAGUAACACGUGGGCAACCUGCCCUCCGCUCUGGGAUAACUCCGGGAAACCGGGGCUAAUACCUGAUACGACCUCCACGGGCAUCUGCGGAGGUGUAAAGUUUUUCGGCUGUGGAUGGGCCCGCGGCCUAUCAGCUAGUUGGUGGGGUAGUGGCCCACCAAGGCGACGACGGGUAGCCGGCCUGCGAGGGCGACCGGCCACACUGGGACUGAGAGACGGCCCAGACUCCUACGGGAGGCAGCAGGGGAGAAUAUUGCGCAAUGGGCGAAAGCCUGACGCAGCGACGCCGCGUGAGGGACGAAGGCCUUCGAGUUGUAAACCUCUUUCAGCAGGGACGAAGCGAAAGUGACGGUACCUGCAGAAGAAGCACCGGCCAACUACGUG
rnacentral:rRNA from 1 species